GGCUUCGGAUCUGCCUUUGGGUAGACCUCCCACCCUGUGUCGUUAUACCUUCGUUGCUUUGGCGGGCCGCGGGGCCCCGGCCCCGCCCCUGGCUCCGGCUAGGGCGCGCCCGCCAGAGGACCUCAAAACCUGAAUGUCAGUGUCGUCUGAGUACUAUAUAAUAGUUAAAACUUUCAACAACGGAUCUCUUGGUUCUGGCAUCGAUGAAGAACGCAGCGAAAUGCGAUAAGUAAUGUGAAUUGCAGAAUUCAGUGAAUCAUCGAAUCUUUGAACGCACAUUGCGCCCCUUGGUAUUCCGGGGGGCAUGCCUGUUCGAGCGUCAUUACAACCCUCAAGCUCUGCUUGGUCUUGGGCGUCACCGGUCCCGGUGUGCCUUAAAAUCAGUGGCGGCGCCAUCUGGCUCUAAGCGUAGUACAUACUCUCGCUACAGACGUCCGGUGGAUGCUGGCCAGCAACCCCCAACUUAUCAAGGUUGACCUCGGAUCAGGUAGGGAUACCCGCUGAACUUAAGCAUAUCAAUAAGCGGAGGAA
rnacentral:rRNA from 1 species